rnacentral:rRNA from 1 species
CCUACGGGUGGCAGCAGUGAGGAAUAUUGGUCAAUGGGCGCGAGUCUGAACCAGCCAUGUAGCGUGAAGGAUGACGGCCCUACGGGUUGUAAACUGCUUUUGUACGGGAAUAAAGUGUCGUACGUGUGCGUUUUUGAAUGUAUUUUACGAAUAAGGAUCGGCUAACUCCGUGCCAGCAGCCGCGGUAAUACGGAGGAUCCGAGCGUUAUCCGGAUUUAUUGGGUUUAAAGGGUGCGUAGGUGGGUUGUUAAGUCAGAUGUUAAAUGUCGGGGCUUAACCGUGAGACUGCCUUGGAUACUGGCAGACUAGAGAACAGAUGAGGUAGGCGGAAUGAGUGGUGUAGCGGUGAAAUGCUUAGAUAUUACGCAGAACACCGAUUGCGCAGGCAGCUUGCUAAUCCGCCUCUGACGCUGAUGCACGAAAGUGUGGGUAGCGAACAGGAUUAGAUACCCGUGUAGUC